rnacentral:lncRNA from 1 species
GUCCCCUCAGUUGUCUACAGUCUAGACUUGUAUUUCCUGUUUUCCCUUGAGUGCAUUUUCUAGAAUUCUGAUUAUAUUUGGUGCUUGUGCGUGAAUUUUCUUAAAUGGGUUCCCAUGUCUUUUCAAGUGGGAUGUCCCAGUCUUGACCCAGGACUUCAGGUGAAGUUUAUUGAUGUUGUGUAGAGCAGAAGGGCUACUGGGGCUGUUUCAUAAUGCUACUUUUAUGCUUUGUCAGAAGAAUUAUGCAUUUCUCGGGCACAAUACUGGCUGAAAAUAAGUAAAUAAAAGACAGCUAGCUUACUAUGUGACUUUCCCAAGUUUUUACAAAGAUUUACAAAUACCACGCUAGCAAAAAUGACUAGCAUUUAAUUGCAUAGCUCAGAUCCUUCAGAUUUAGCCAAGACCCUAAAUCCUGUUGAUACAUACUAUUUACACAGCCCUAGCAAUUUGUUACUGAUAAUGAAACCACAGAGACACACAAUGCUGUGUCAGAACUCAGUAGGCUGAAGUAAGAUUAGUUGGCUCAACAUUUCCCUACCUGCCAAAUCCUUGCUCAACAUUGCUAUCAAUAAUUCCAUUUACUGGCAUUAAAAUGCAAAAUGUGAACUAUCAUGAUGAUAUAGCAUUAACUUCCCACUAGUAAAUACAAGUAAAUACAAGUAAAUUUUAUUACACGAAAAUAAAAAAAACAAAUACAGAUGUGAUGGGAAAGUGAAAUACAUUGUUUUGCAGAACGUCUUAACUAAAUAUUUCUUCUGCUUUCACUCUGUUUACCAUCUCAUCUCCCUGUUGUGAUGGCUGAAGAUGUAGUAAUAAGUAGAAAUUUUCUUGAUGGAUGGUUUAUUAGCAGAAACAAAGGGAAAAAGAAUCCUUUUAAGAAAAGUUAGUACAUUUUAGAUAGUGUAUCAAUGCUUAUGAAAAUCUUGUACUUAUUACCAGAAUUUAAAAAUUAUACUGUGAGCAGUUGUAAAUUUUCCUUGUACUGUCAGGUACCAUUCUUGCGUAAAAGGAGAAUUUCUCCAAAUUCAAGUUUUAUUUUAACAAAUUCGGUAUUUGUACUAACCACACAACUCUUGCAAGUUAGAAUUUCUUCCUUUCUGUUUUACCAGACUGUCAGGUGCAUUACAGCUUGUAUGGCUCUAUGGUUCUUCUGUAGACAAUUGCCAUCUGCGCUUAGAGGCAUUAUUAUCUUUACAACAGAAGCCAAGUGACAAAUGUAUCCGGUGCACCAACCACUAUUGUGGAGGAAUGAAGAGGGGAGAAGGAAGGUCUGUUUUACACUGGUUUGAAGUCUAUUUAAUUUUGCCAGUGCAAGCGAAGUCUUGGAACUCUGCAGAAGUUUCUGUUGAGUAUAUCUGUUUAAAUUGCUUAUAAUGAAGCACCAUGAGCUUUUAAAAUAAGAGCUAAACAGAAGCUAACUAUAAAAUGAAUAGUAACUUUAAUGAAUUUUGCUUAUUUCUCUUUCCUUAUGAAUUGCUCAGAAACAGAUUGAAUUUCUUUGUUUCAAAAUAAAGCUAUUUGAAUUACUCUUGAUCUGUUUAAA